UGAGCAUCUCUUUCCCUUCAGGAUGGGCUGU
rnacentral:piRNA from 1 species